rnacentral:rRNA from 1 species
AGCUCCAAUAGCGUAUAUUAAAGUUGUUGCGGUUAAAAAGCUCGUAGUUGGAUUUCUACCGAAGACAGCCGGUCCACACUACGUGUGCGCAUCUGGUGUGGCUUUGGUAUCCUCAUGGAGAACAGUUCUGCGCUUCAUUGCGUGGACUGGUAUUCAUGACUUUUACUUUGAGGAAAUUAGAGUGUUCACGGCAGGCGUUUGCCUUGAAUACAUUAGCAUGGAAUAAUAAUAUAGGACUUUGGCCCUAUUUUGUUGGUUUCUAGAGCUGAAGUAAUGAUUAAUAGGGACACUUGGGGGCAUUCGUAUUAUCACGUCAGAGGUGGAAUUCUUGGAUUGUGUUACGACGAACUACUGCGAAAGCAUUUGCCAAGGAUGUUUUCA